rnacentral:rRNA from 1 species
GACGAACGCUGGCGGCGUGCUUAACACAUGCAAGUCGAGCGGUAAGGCCCUUUCGGGGGUACACGAGCGGCGAACGGGUGAGUAACACGUGGGUGACCUGCCUUUAGCUCUGGGAUAAGCCUGGGAAACCGGGUCUAAUACCGGAUAUGACUCCGCGGCGCAUGUUGUGGGGUGGAAAGCCUUGUGCGGCUGGAGAUGGGCCCGCGGCCUAUCAGCUUGUUGGUGGGGUGAUGGCCUACCAAGGCGACGACGGGUAGCCGGCCUGAGAGGGCGACCGGCCACACUGGGACUGAGACACGGCCCAGAUUCCUACGGGAGGCAGCAGUGGGGAAUCUUGCGCAAUGGGGCGAAAGCCUGACGACGCAACGCCGCGUGGAGGACGAAGAUCUUCGGGUCGUAAACUCCUGUCGAGUGGAAAGAAUAAUUCGGGGAUGAAUACUCCCCGGAAUUGACGGUACCACUAAAGGAAGCCCCGGCUAACUCCGUGCCAGCAGCCGCUGUAAG